rnacentral:rRNA from 1 species
GGAAUUAUUGGGCGUAAAGGGCUCGUAGGCGGUUCGUCACGUCGGGAGUGAAAACUCGGAGCUUAACUCCGAGCCUGCUUCCGAUACGGGCAGACUAGAGGUAGGCAGGGGAGAGCGGAACUCCUGGUGUAGCGGUGAAAUGCGCAGAUAUCAGGAGGAACACCGGUGGCGAAGGCGGUUCUCUGGGCCUGUACUGACGCUGAGGAACGAAAGCGUGGGGAGCGAACAGG